UGAGCAAUCUGCCCUUCUCAUCGGAAUAAGCGUUGGAAACGACGUCUAAUGCCGAAUACGACCUCCUUUCGCAUGAUCGGAGGUGGAAAGCUCCGGCGGAGAAGGAUGAGCUCGCGGCCUAUCAGCUAGUUGGUGUGGGUAAUGGCCCACCAAGGCGACGACGGGUAGCCGGCCUGAGAGGGUGACCGGCCACACUGGGACUGAGACACGGCCCAGACCUCCGUACGGGAGGNAGCG
rnacentral:rRNA from 1 species